rnacentral:rRNA from 1 species
UGGAUCCAGACUUUGAUCAUGGCUCAGGAUGAACGCUAGCUACAGGCUUAACACAUGCAAGUCGAGGGGAAACGACAUCGAAAGCUUGCUUUUGAUGGGCGUCGACCGGCGCACGGGUGAGUAACGCGUAUCCAACCUGCCCACCACUUGGGGAUAACCUUGCGAAAGUAAGACUAAUACCCAAUGAUAUCUCUAGAAGACAUCUGAAAGAGAUUAAAGAUUUAUCGGUGAUGGAUGGGGAUGCGUCUGAUUAGCUUGUUGGCGGGGUAACGGGCCACCAAGGCGACGAUCAGUAGGGGUUCUGAGAGGAAGGUCCCCCACAUUGGAACUGAGACACGGUCCAAACUCCUACGGGAGGCAGCAGUGAGGAAUAUUGGUCAAUGGGCGAGAGUCUGAACCAGCCAAGUAGCGUGCAGGAUGACGGCCCUAUGGGUUGUAAACUGCUUUUAUAAGGGAAUAAAGUGAGUCUCGUGAGAUUUUUUGCAUGUACCUUAUGAAUAAGGACCGGCUAAUUCCGUGCCAGCAGCCGCGGUAAUACGGAAGGUCCGGGCGUUAUCCGGAUUUAUUGGGUUUAAAGGGAGCGUAGGCCGGAGAUUAAGCGUGUUGUGAAAUGUAGACGCUCAACGUCUGCACUGCAGCGCGAACUGGUUUCCUUGAGUACGCACAAAGUGGGCGGAAUUCGUGGUGUAGCGGUGAAAUGCUUAGAUAUCACGAAGAACUCCGAUUGCGAAGGCAGCUCACUGGAGCGCAACUGACGCUGAAGCUCGAAAGUGCGGGUAUCGAACAGGAUUAGAUACCCUGGUAGUCCGCACGGUAAACGAUGGAUGCCCGCUGUUGGUCUGAAUAGGUUAGCGGCCAAGCGAAAGCAUUAAGCAUCCCACCUGGGGAGUACGCCGGCAACGGUGCAACUCAAAGGAAUUGACGGA